rnacentral:rRNA from 1 species
CCUACGGGGGGCUGCAGUGAGGAAUAUUGGUCAAUGGCCGGAAGGCUGAACCAGCCAUGCCGCGUGAAGGUCAGUGCCCUAUGGGCGUUAAACUUCUUUUGUGCGGGAGCAAUAAUGGUCACGUGUGGCCAGACGAGAGUACCGUACGAAUAAGCAUCGGCUAACUACGUGCCAGCAGCCGCGGUAAUACGGGGGAUGCAAGCGUUAUCCGGAUUUAUUUGGGUUAAAGGGUGCGUAGGCUGGGAGGUAAGUGAGCGGUGAAAUGCCCCCGCUCAACGGGGUGGAGUGCCAUUGAUACUGCCGUGCUGGAAUGCGAAUGCCGUAGGAGGAAUGUGUGGUGUAGCGGUGAAAUGCAUAGAGAUCACACAGAACACCGAUUGCGAAGGCAUCUCACGAAUCCGCGAUUGACGCUGAUGCACGAAAGCGUGGGUAUCAAACAGGAUUAGAUACCCGAGUAGUC